UACGGAGGGUGCAAACGUUGCUCGGAAUCAUUGGGCGUAAAGCGCACGUAGGCGGACCGCUAAGUCGGAUGUGAAAGCCCUCGGCUUAACCGAGGAAGUGCAUUCGAAACUGACAGUCUUGAGUAUGGAAGAGGGUCGCGGAAUUCCCGGUGUAGAGGUGAAAUUCGUAGAUAUCGGGAGGAACACCUGUGGCGAAGGCGGCCGACUGGACGAUCACUGACACUGAGACGCGAAAGCGUGGGUAGCAAACAGG
rnacentral:rRNA from 1 species